GAUGAACGCUAGCUACAGGCUUAACACAUGCAAGUCGAGGGGCAGCAUGACGGAAGCUUGCUUUCGUUGAUGGCGACCGGCGCACGGGUGAGUAACGCGUAUCCAACCUGCCCUUGUCCAUCGGAUAACCCGUCGAAAGGCGGACUAACACGAUAUGCAGUUCUCAGCAGGCAUCUAACGAGAACGAAAUGUGAAGGAGAAGGAUGGGGAUGCGUCUGAUUAGCUUGUUGGCGGGGUAACGGCCCACCAAGGCGACGAUCAGUAGGGGUUCUGAGAGGAAGGUCCCCCACAUUGGAACUGAGACACGGUCCAAACUCCUACGGGAGGCAGCAGUGAGGAAUAUUGGUCAAUGGGCGAGAGCCUGAACCAGCCAAGUAGCGUGCAGGAUGACGGCCCUAUGGGUUGUAAACUGCUUUUAUAAGGGAUAAAGUGAGUCUCGUGAGACUUUUGCAUGUACCUUAUGAAUAAGGACCGGCUAAUUCCGUGCCAG
rnacentral:rRNA from 1 species